rnacentral:lncRNA from 1 species
UGAUGAGUUGUUGUCUCAUAUCCUUCUUUGAUUGUGAAAUGUUUCAUUCGAGAUCUGUUUCGAGAGUUCUUCCGCGAGAUGUGAACUCUGCGGGGGUGCUGAAGGUGUCGAACAUAAACAUAGAGGCAUGGUUUAAGAAUCUCUUAUCUUUCGAUAUCAUGUCUUUGAGAUGUUAGAGACCAGUGCGCUGGGUUUAGGGCAAGACCUAGGUUUACUUUCGGUUUAAGGAUUGUGCGGUGACUAACCGGCUAUCGUUUUUCCUGUCGCGAUUUCUUCCUGAUUCGUAUCGAUGUAAAGUCCGCGAGAGGUUCUCGGCUUAUCCGACUUGUUUGAUAUGAAUCGAGCAUCUCUCCGGAGACCGGAAGUGCUAGACCAAAAUUUCGGAUUUUU